GGUCUGCAAAAAAAAUUUUUUGUCAGCUGCAUGAGAUAUUUUUACUAAAUUGUAUGUUUUAGAAUGCGCUGAUUUCAGAAGUGAUGGCUAUUUUCAGAACUUAUGGCUAUCACGUAAGGUUUUUUUGCAAAUCCAAAACAAAAAAAUGGUAAAAGCACUCGUUUAAUAAAAAUUAUACAGUACCCUGCAAGAGCAUAGUGACAUCCCAUCUUCCUUGAUACCGUCUCUCGAUAUCGCGGACAUCCUGGUGAAACCGCUUCCCCCUUCUUCAUUGUAAGCUCCCACGUUUUCAGGAAAAUAGUCUAUGUGGGAGUGUAAAAACUGGAUCUUCAGGAUUAUCUUGCAGCCUUGAGCUUCGUAUGCUGCUGGUUGAACAAUAGGUUUUAAAGUUUCUCGGAGUGACCCUCAUUUCCAGUCCAAUGCUGUUCUCUGGUUCUACUAUCCCAUAAAUUUAAGAAGCAAGAGUAUUUAGUGUAGCCUGCUUGCUGACCAAAAAGCAUCGAUAAUGGCCAAAUUUUUAUAGUUAGUUUUCUUCCAUAUGCACAGAAUACCCCAUUGGAAGCGAAGCUAAUUUAUUUUUA